CGAUGCAGGGAAGGAUGAGAAGCUUCGACCAAGGUUCGAUUCGAGCGUAGCGAGAAAGCGUUGCCGCAGGCAACGACCCGUAGGGCGAGGCGCAGCCGAGUAAUCCUUCCCUAUCAA
rnacentral:sRNA from 1 species